CAUUUGAUCACUUUUGCUUUUUGAUUCACAAUCUAAUGAAGGUUUGUACACUGUAUUGGGUUACUUUACUUUUCAAGACACUUUUUAGGACUUUAAAUGCUAAUUUUUUUUUCUAAGUGAAAUCGGACUUUUAUCUCAGAGUCUGGCAUCCUAACUGCAAUAUGUGGAGUUUCAGGUUAUGAUGACCUUUCUCCAUGUGGACACUCCCUGAGGAUAAUGGGUUCUUUGGAGGAAACAAGAGAUAAGGUGAUGGAAACACUGCUUUAUGGGUAAGGAAAUGGUAGGAGGCAAGAGUUUAGGUCAAGAGAGCAAACUCCUUUUGGCCAGAGUUAUUCACUCACUCAGUCCACUGAUUUUCCUCUCCCAUCUGUAUUCUCUUUCACUUUUUAUAACUUCCAGCAAGAUCCAAUGUGAAUAAAAGCUAAUUAAAUGUGCUAUAGACUAUGAGGUACUUAAGACAGGCACUUUGCUUGUGUUUAUCUUUUUUCCUUUUAAAUUUCAUGAAGAUGAAAAGAGAAACAGUACCAUCGGUGAUGUCCCCUUUGCCUAUAAUCCCUUUUUCUCUCCUCAGUUUUCCCACCUUUAACAAUGGGGAAAUUAAUAGUGCCCAGCUACGUACGUAGCUCAGAACAAUGUGUGGCACAAAGAAAGCCUUGUAAUCUUUUUCAUGCAAGUGAAAUUACAUAUGGAAAAAUGCACGGACCAUGAGUGUGCAGCUCUGUGAAGUGAACACACUCUCUACAUCAAGAAAUACGAUGACUUAUUUCUGGUUUGGGGGCCACUAUGAAUGAAUGAUACUGCUGUGAACACACUGCUGCUGGGCCACACAUACUUGAGUAGAAUUGCUGCUUACUGGUAUGACAGACUGCUACCUAAAAUCACUGUUCUAAUGUGCAUUCCCACCAGCACAGUAGGAGUUCCUCUCACCCCAAAUCCUCAAAAGUUGGUAUUGUCAGUUCUAAAAAUUUAAACCCUUGUGUUGGGUGUGUAGUGGUAUCUCAUUGUGGUUUUCAUAUGCAUUUCUCUGAUGGCUGAGAUUGAGCACAGUAUCAUAUGUUUAAGGCAAUGCAGAUUUUCUCUCUUGGAAACAGUUUACAUCUCUUGUUCAAUCUUCUAUUGGGUGAUGAGUUCCUCUUACUGAUUUAAUGUGGAUAUAAGUCUUUUGUUAGUUAUGUGUUGCAAGUAUCUUUUUGCACUCUAUGCCCCGGCCUUUCCCCUCUUCCUAUAGUGUCUAGAUGAAUAGUCUCUGGUUUUAAUGCAAUCAACUUACCAAUCCUUUCCUUUAUAAUCAGUGCUUUUUGCAUCCUGUAUAAGGAAUAUUUUCCUAUCUCAUGGCCACAAAGGUAGUGUUCUAUGUUAUGUCCUAAGAGCUUUUAAAUUUAUCUUCCACAUUUAUUUUCUACAAUUAGGUUAUAUUCCACCUUUGCUUAUCAAAGUCUAAUGUAAAAUAGCUCCAUCCUUUUCCUAGACAAUGUACUGAGUUUAGAACACUUUAAAACCAUUUACUUUUCCUGAUUUAUGUACUAUUUUUAUAAUAUUUUAUA